rnacentral:rRNA from 1 species
AUGAACGCUGGCGGCGUGCCUAAUACAUGCAAGUCGAGCGAACAGACGAGAGUGCUUGCACUCUCUGACGUUAGCGGCGGACGGGUGAGUAACACGUGGGUAACCUACCUAUAAGACUGGGAUAACUUCGGGAAACCGGAGCUAAUACCGGAUAAUAUUUAGCUUCGCAUGAAGCAAUAGUGAAAGACGGUUCUGCUGUCACUUAUAGAUGGACCCGCGGUGUAUUAGCUAGUUGGUGAGGUAACGGCUCACCAAGGCAACGAUACAUAGCCGACCUGAGAGGGUGAUCGGCCACACUGGGACUGAGACACGGCCCAGACUCCUACGGGAGGCGGCAGUAGGGAAUCUUCCGCAAUGGACGAAAGUCUGACGGAGCAAUGCCGCGUGAGUGAAGAAGGUUUUCGGAUCGUAAAACUCUGUUGUAAGGGAAGAACAAGUACGUUAGUAACUGAACGUACCUUGACGGUACCUUACCAGAAAGCCACGGCUAACUACGUG